rnacentral:tRNA from 1 species
ACCGCGAUGGUUCAGGUGGCAGAGCAUCUGCGCGGUAUGCGGAGGGUCGCCGGUUCGAUUCCGGCUCGCGGUU